rnacentral:rRNA from 1 species
AGAGUUUGAUCCUGGCUCAGGAUGAACGCUAGCGACAGGCCUAACACAUGCAAGUCGAGGGGCAACAUGGUAUCAGCUUGCUGAUACCGAUGGCGACCGGCGCACGGGUGAGUAACGCGUAUGUAAUCUACCUGUAACAGAGGGAUAACCCGGAGAAAUCCGGACUAAUACCUCAUAGCACAUAUUAUUCGCAUGAAUUUUAUGUUAAAGAGACUCGGUUACAGAUGAACAUGCGUUCCAUUAGCUGGUUGGCGGGGUAACGGCCCACCAAGGCAACGAUGGAUAGGGGUUCUGAGAGGAAGGUCCCCCACACUGGUACUGAGACACGGACCAGACUCCUACGGGAGGCAGCAGUGAGGAAUAUUGGUCAAUGGACGCAAGUCUGAACCAGCCAUGCCGCGUGCAGGAAGACGGCUCUAUGAGUUGUAAACUGCUUUUGUACGAGGGUAAACUCAGAUACGUGUAUCUGACUGAAAGUAUCGUACGAAUAAGGAUCGGCUAACUCCGUGCCAGCAGCCGCGGUAAUACGGAGGACCCGAGCGUUAUCCGGAUUUAUUGGGUUUAAAGGGUGCGUAGGCGGAUUAGUAAGUUAGAGGUGAAAGCUCGAUGCUCAACAUCGAAAUUGCCUCUGAUACUGUUAGUCUAGAGUAUAGUUGCGGAAGGCGGAAUGUGUGGUGUAGCGGUGAAAUGCUUAGAUAUCACACAGAACACCGAUUGCGAAGGCAGCUUUCCAAGCUAUUACUGACGCUGAGGCACGAAAGCGUGGGGAGCGAACAGGAUUAGAUACCCUGGUAGUCCACGCAGUAAACGAUGAUAACUCGUUGCCGGCGAUACACAGUCGGUGACUAAGCGAAAGCGAUAAGUUAUCCACCU